rnacentral:rRNA from 1 species
CUACGGGAUGCUGCAGUGGGGAAUUUUGGGCAAUGGGCGAAAGCCUGACCCAGCAACGCCGCGUGGAGGAUGAAGGUUUUCGGAUCGUAAACUCCUGUCCCAUGAGACGAAGCAAGUGACGGUAUCAUGGGAGGAAGCCCCGGCUAGACUCCGUGUCAGCAGCCGCGGUAAUACGGGGGGGGCGAGCGUUGUUCGGAAUUACUGGGCGUAAAGGGCGCGUAGGCGGUUUCGGAAGUCAAGGGUGAAAGCCCCGAGCUCAACUCGGGAAUUGCCUUUGAAACCACGGAACUAGAGUGUUGGAGAGGAAAGCGGAAUUUCCAGUGUAGCGGUGAAAUGCGUAGAUAUUGGAAGGAACAUCUGAGGCGAAGGCGGCUUUCUGGACAGACACUGACGCUGAGGCGCGAAAGCCAGGGGAGCGAACGGGAUUAGAUACCCCCGUAGUC